UCCGGGAUAGCUCAAUAGCAGAGUUCGCGGCUGUUAACCGCGUUGUUGUAGGUACUCUCCCUUGAAGGCUGCGCCUACAAGUCCUACUCCCGGAGCCA
rnacentral:tRNA from 1 species